rnacentral:piRNA from 1 species
UGACAAGGUGGAAACCAUGUAUGUGGUGAU